rnacentral:pre_miRNA from 1 species
CAAGUACUUCCUCCGUCCGGAAUUACUUUUCAUCAAAAUGGAUGUGUCUAGAACUAAAAUACAUCUAGAUACAUCCAUUUCAAUGACAAGUAUUUUCGGACAGAGGGAGUACAAG